rnacentral:lncRNA from 1 species
CACACUUCCGGCUGGUAAUUGGCUCUGAUACCAUCUGUGACGCCCCAACUUCCCAGGGGGUCACCCAUCCUAGGACUACUCCCGUCCUAGCACGCUUAACUCUCUUAACCUCUUGGGUCUAGCCACCACCCAAAAUGCUUAAGCCGGGUUAAGAGUUUAGCCCUAUUAUAUCUUAUAUAUAGGACUAUCUGGGGUCUCACAGGUGGAUCCGGGGCCGGAUCCGGCAAAAUCGGACCCCGUCGGCGCCGAUCCGGCCAAGUCGGCGGGAUCCAUCUUUGCUGGAUCCUGCCGGCGUGAUCCACGCCCAGAUCUGGCUCAAAGGCGGAUCCGAGGCUGGAUCCGGCAAAGCCGGAGCUCGACGGCGCGGAUCCGGCCAAGCCGGUGGGAUCCGUCUUUGCCGGAUCACGCCGGCGCAGAUCUGGGGUCGUGCGCGGAUUAGGGAGAGAAAUCAAGAGAGGGAGAGAGAUAAUCUGUAUGAAAAAAAAAACACUCUCCUUGAAAAAAAAAAAGAAGAAGGGAGUACCUUGGAGGUUCGCCGGAGAAAAACUCGCCGGAGAAGAAACUUGCCGGUAGAAAACGCGUCGCCGGAGAGAAAAAAGGGAGAGAGAUGAAAAAGAGAGGGAAGGAGAGGGGAGUGAUUAGAUGAAGAAGAGAUGAGAGGAGAGUGUUUUUUUUUUUUUUUGGGGAGUAGGAGUGGGAGUUGGCUGUGAGAGUAAUGGGAGAGUAAUGAGAGAUAUAUUAUUAAUUAUAAAAGGAUAUGAUAGAAUUGUAAUGUUUGUUUAAGGGUAAUUCGGUAUUUUAGUAAAAAAAUUUAAGUUGUGAAACAGCUUGUGCGGGAAUCUGUUUUGGAAAAGCAGGUUUUUUCAGCUUAUGCUUUUGGAGGUUGAAGAAUCAGUUUUCAGCUUUUAGGAAGCAGAAUCAGAUUUCUAAAUACCUUUACCAAACACUCUAGCUUGGCCUAAAAGUGAUUUUCAGCUGAAAAUCACUUUGCAAAAGCUUGGCCAAACAGGGCCUUAGACACUAGUAAUAAUAACUGGGCUUAAGCAUUUUAGACCGGUGAUUGGGCCCAACGAGUUAUUGUUGCUAGUGAGCUAAGGCUAGGUCGUUACAUUGGCGUGGCUAGGUCGUUAUAAUACAUAUAUUGUAAAGAUGCAUGUUGGAGUGUUAAAGCCAAUCAUAGCAUUAUCACAAGAGUUAUUAAUGCUUUAGAGACCUAGAAGGUCUCUCCAUCAAUUGCUAUCGGAUUAGUUGGCAAUCCUUGCAAGGAAGCAAAAUUAGUCUAAAAUAUCACCUAUUUAACAGCCAACCAAAACCAAAAGUAUGGAAAUGUCUGCCAAGCUCGGUCAAUCUCUUUUACGAUCGUACUCGUAGGAGAAGAAAUUCUAAUUAUAGCUUGGGGUGUUGGUCUCGAUUAAUUCCAUACGAAGAACGGAAAUAUGUUUAGGGUAGCGUUACGCACACUUACAAAUAGAUCAAUUCUUUUAAAUUUUUGUACUUAUCUAUAAAAUUAAUUUUUUCUUUAUCACUAAAUUAGCUAAAUUUUAAUUACAAUCAGAUUUAGCUGUAUAUAUUUUUUCCAACAUAAAAUAUUGGCAUAUUUAAUAGCCAACAAAAACGAAAAGAGUGGAAAUGUCACGUCAUUACUAGUGCUGUUUAAGGGGCAUUUAAUUGGACACGCCUAGAAACUCAUUGUCGUAAUAAUUUUAACAUGUUAUGAUUCAUCCUUAUAGUUUGCUUUUAAUUAAAAUAUCAUUAAUUAUCUAUUUUUAUCUUGUAUUAUUAUUAUUAGUAGUAUAUACCCUACAUUGUAGGAGGAUUAAUGAGGAGAGCUAUAAAGCCACACACUUCAGCCAACUCUUCCCACGACUAUGAUAAAACUAGUUAAGGAACCCGCACAAUGCGGCGGGCAGAAUUGAACAAUUAAAAAUUAAAGAAUGAAACUAACGUAUAUUUUUUUUCAAAAAAUAGCUAAACCAAAUAACUAAAAUAAAUAAGCCAGUUUAAAAUAAAAGAAAAACUCAAUGUAAUAUUAAAAAGUGUAUAAUAUUUUUUUUAUUAUCAUCAGUGUAGAAUUUAUAAAUAAAAAAAUAUAAAAAAAUAAUUGAAGUGAAAGUACUAUCUUUGGAAGUAUUGGCGGUAGCAUCCUCACCGUCGUUGCUGACGAUGAAAGAAAACUCUCCUUAACUUUUAUCAUUAUAGAUACAACUAAUAAACUAUUUGAUUCCUAAAUUUUUUUUAUGUAUUUUAUUUAUAGAUUAUAGAUAGAUAGAUAGAUAAAGAUUUUAAUUUUAAGAUUAAAUCCGAAUUUAAAUUCAAAAUUUUGAAUUUUUAUUUUUCGAGACUAAAAUGAAAAACAUGCAAAGUUUAAGAGUUAAUGACCAAAAUAAAAAAUAGUCGAAAGGUUUGGGUCAAUGUGCAAUUAAUUCUUUAAAAAAUUAUAUGUAAACCCCACGACCCACCAAAAUAAGGGGAGAUCUUUUUGGGUUCCCAAUUAGUGUACCCCACAAAAUAAUGAAAAACUCAAAGUUUAAAUGCAAAUUCAAAUAUCAAAAUCAAAAGCAAGAUUCAAUUUAAAAUUCAAGUUUAAAAUUUAAAUUUCAAUUCAAAUUCAAACUUUAAAUUCAAAUUCAAAAUUUUAAUUUCUGGUUAGUUUAAAUUUGUAAUUUUAAUAGUAAUUUUAAAUUUAAAUUCAAAAAUUUGUAUUUUUAUUUUUGAAGAAUAAAGUGAAAAAAAUGCAAGAAAGCCAAGUAGGCGCUAAUAUGGUAAUUUCAUUAUUUUUAAUAUCUCUUUUAACAGUUAAGACGUAAUCGUAAUGAAAUUAAGAAGAAGUGAGAACUUGAUUGCAAACAAAAAGUAUAUUAGGAACUAAAAUAAAAAAUGGUGCAAAGGUUGGGACUAAUGGUGCAAUU